GCAAGUCAAGGGGGUAGCAAUACAACCGGCGCACGGGUGAGUAACGCGUACACAACUUACCAUAUACUGGGGUAUAGCUUUGGGAAACUGAAGGUAAUCCCCCAUAACAUUGCGAGAGGGCAUCUGAUUGCAAUUAAAGUUUCGGCGGUAUAUGAUUGGUGUGCGUUUGAUUAGCUAGUUGGUAGGGUAACGGCCUACCAAGGCGACGAUCAAUAGCUGGCGUGAGAGCGCGACCAGCCACACUGGAACUGAGACACGGUCCAGACUCCUACGGGAGGCAGCAGUAGGGAAUAUUGGACAAUGGAGGAAACUCUGAUCCAGCCAUGCCGCGUGAUAGAUGAAGGCCCUCUGGGUUGUAAAUAUCUUUUAUCUGGGAAGAAACAAUCUUAUUCUUAAGAUCUUGACGGUACCAGAGGAAUAAGCACCGGCUAACUCCGUGCCAGCAGCCGCGGUAAUACGGAGGGUGCAAGCGUUAUCCGGAUUCACUGGGUUUAAAGGGUGCGUAGGCGGGCUGAUAAGUCAGUGGUGAAAGCUCCGAGCUUAACUUGGAAACUGCCAUUGAUACUGCCAGUCUUGAAUGUCGUAGAGGUAAGCGGAAUGUUGCAUGUAGCGGUGAAAUGCUUAGAUAUGUUACAGAACACCAAUUGCGAAGGCAGCUUACUAUGCGAUGAUUGACGCUGAGGCACGAAAGCGUGGGGAGCAAACAGGAUUAGAUACCCUGGUAGUCCACGCCCUAAACGAUGAUUACUCGAUGUUGGCGAUACACAGUCAGCGUCUUAGCGAAAGCGUUAAGUAAUCCACCUGGGGAGUACGCUCGCCAGAGUGAAACUCAAAGGAAAUUGAACGGGGGUCCCGCACAAGCGGUGGAGUAUGUGGUUUUAAUUCGGAAUGCAACGCGAAAAACCUUUACCUACCCCUUGACAUGGUCAGGAAUUCCUGGAGAGAUCUGGGAAGUGCCUCGCAA
rnacentral:rRNA from 1 species